rnacentral:lncRNA from 1 species
GAUCAUUCGCUAACGUCUCCCCUUUUCCUUCCACAAGUCCUGCCCAUCCUUGUAAGUCAUUAUUCACACUUCCACUUCAAAGCACCGUUUCACUUGUUAGAUUAUAUCACAUUCUCACCAAUUCUCUCGGGGUAAGCUGUUUACACUCAUAAUUCAAACUAUGCAAUAUCACUCACAAGUUUGAAUAAUCUCUCUUUUCUCAUCACCUGCACAUAACACACACACUUUUGAGGUCUUUAGGGUUGUAGCUUGGCUUGGGUUAGGGUAUGGAUUAAAAAAGGAAAACAAGGGGCUUUUAGUUCAGAGUCGAUGCUACAUCCUGUGUUUGUUUCUUUUAUUUCCUCGGUUUUCUUUUCUUAUUUCUUUUUCACCGAUUGCCCUUUUCCGUGCUUUUUUUUUUGAAUCUUCGAGUUGUCGAAUUUUCUUUUUCUUUCUUUUUCUCGAUUCAUCAAUUUUUCUUUUUCUUUUGUUUUUUUGCACUUUCUUGGGCUUUGAGAGCUUUUGGGUUUUUUUUUUACCCCAAACUUAGCUUUUCAACACAGCUUUGAAUGCAUUUUCA